AUACCUCUGGUCCGCCCAAACCCGUAGAUCCGAACUUGUGUUGGCUUCAUAUUCACAGGUUCGAAUCCACAGGUCCUGGGCUGGCUGGAACUCGCAUCCUGCCUACCA
rnacentral:pre_miRNA from 1 species